UGCUAGUCGAACGAUGACCCGGUGCUUGCACCGGUGAUUAGUGGCGAACGGGUGCGUUCACGUGAGUAACCUGCCCUUAACUCUGGGAUAAGCCUGGCCAUACUGGGUCUAAUACCGGAUAUGACUCCUCAUCGCAUGGUGGGGGGUGGAAAGCUUUAUUGUGGUUUUGGAUGGACUCGCGGCCUAUCAGCUUGUUGGUGAGGUAAUGGCUCACCAAGGCGACGACGGGUAGCCGGCCUGAGAGGGUGACCGGCCACACUGGGACUGAGACACGGCCCAGACUCCUACGGGAGGCAGCAGUGGGGAAUAUUGCACAAUGGGCGCAAGCCUGAUGCAGCGACGCCGCGUGAGGGAUGACGGCCUUCGGGUUGUAAACCUCUUUCAGUAGGGAAGAAGCGAAAGUGACGGUACCUGCAGAAGAAGCGCCGGCUAACUACGUGCCAGCAGCCGCGGUAAUACGUAGGGCGCAAGCGUUAUCCGGAAUUAUUGGGCGUAAAGAGCUCGUAGGCGGUUUGUCGCGUCUGCCGUGAAAGUCCGGGGCUCAACUCCGGAUCUGCGGUGGGUACGGGCAGACUAGAGUGAUGUAGGGGAGACUGGAAUUCCUGGUGUAGCGGUGAAAUGCGCAGAUAUCAGGAGGAACACCGAUGGCGAAGGCAGGUCUCUGGGCAUUAACUGACGCUGAGGAGCGAAAGCAUGGGGAGCGAACAGGAUUAGAUACCCUGGUAGUCCAUGCCGUAAACGUUGGGCACUAGGUGUGGGGGACAUUCCACGUUUUCCGCGCCGUAGCUAACGCAUUAAGUGCCCCGCCUGGGGAGUACGGCCGCAAGGCUAAAACUCAAAGGAAUUGACGGGGGCCCGCACAAGCGGCGGAGCAUGCGGAUUAAUUCGAUGCAACGCGAAGAACCUUACCAAGGCUUGACAUGGGCCGGACCGGGCUGGAAACAGUCCUUCCCCUUUGGGGCCGGUUCACAGGUGGUGCAUGGUUGUCGUCA
rnacentral:rRNA from 1 species